CUCAGGCCCUGUUUACACGAAUACGCUUGCGGGUGAAAACGACAAAAUAUUUUAUCAGAUGUGUCUUUCGUUUAGAUGGCGAGGGCAUUUUUGGGGCUUAAAAACGCAAAAAAGUGAAACCACCCUGUCAUGAAUCCCGCUGUCUGAGUCUGUUUUCUGCCUGAGUUGCCUGUAUUCUGUCCUGGAGUCUGUUUUCCUGAGUUUCCUGAACGCACCCUGUCUGGUUGCCUGGCGACGAAGCAAGGCAGGAGAUCUCUCAACUACCCACACCUGCAUCUCAUCAGCUGCCUGCACACCUGGUCCUGAUCAUCACCUCUCCACUUCAUAAGCUCUGACCUGACAUCCAUUCCCUGCCAGAUCGUUAGCCAUGAACAUUACUCUCCCGGGAUAUUCACUCCACCUCUGCCUGGUCAUCUGUUGCUUCAGAAACAACAUUGGAUCUGUUCAUUCCCUCCUCCACCUACUCACCUGCACUGCCUGCUCUGUCACCUGGAUUCUCCUGCUUCCACAUUUAAGUCUCUAAAUAAAUACUCACCUUUAUUCAACUCACCUUGUCCUUGUCUGCUUCUGGGUUCCGCUCUAGUGAAACCUGACAGAACGAUCCGGCCAAAGAUGAACCCAGCGGACCUGGACUCCGUUCACCAUGCCAUUUCCCAACAAGGGAAUAUGUUGGGACAACACAGCACGGCGCUACAGGAGAUAGCGUCUUCAGUUCGGAACCUUUCUGCCAGUCUGACGAGUAUCCAGGCUCAGCUCAGUUUGCCGGCUGAUAAUCCACCACCUGUUUCACCCCCCUCGCCUACCGCUUCUGGAGCUUUUUCCUUCCGUGAGCCCAAGGUUCCGACACCAGAUAAGUACGAAGGGGAUUUGGGAAGAUGUCGUGGUUCAUUUCUCAUGCAGUGUGGAUUAGUUUUUGACCUGCAGCCCAACUCUUACGCCACAGACAAGGCCAGGAUAGCCUUUGUAAUUGAACUGCUGCGUGGAAGAGCUCUGGAUUGGGCUUCAGCUUUAUGCGAAUGACAGGACACCUGUAUGGUGUCUUACCAGGAGUUCACGGCAGAGAUGAGGAAGCUGUUUGACCAUCCAGUCCGAGGUAAGGACGCAGCUAAUCGUCUGUUUUCUCUUCGCCAAGGAGCUCGCAGUGUAGCAGAGUUUGUAAUUAAAUUCAGAACAUUGGCUGUGGAGAGUGGGUGGAAUGAGUCAUCACUACAAGUGGCUUUUUAUCAGGGGUUGUCAGAGCAACUUAAAGAUGAACUGAUUUCUUAUCCUGAACCUAGUGACCUGGACAGUUUGAUAGCGUUAUCUAUUUGGGUGGAUAACAGAAUCCGAGAGAGGAGGGAGAAGCGAUGGGGGUCUUCCAACCAAUCAUCUACUAUGUUACCAUCCAAGUCGGGGAAUAGACCAGUACGAGCUGAUCAUUCUUCAUCCACGAGAUUAAAGGAGAGUUUCUGCCUUCAGAUCCUGAACCCAUGCAAGUGGGGUGGCACGGGUUAACCAAGGAGGUGCGCCAACGUAGACGUGAGACCAACAGCUGCCUCUACUGUGGUAACAGCCAGUUUCAGUCUUCCAAUAACCCUGUCAGACCCCGUUUUCCUGCAACACUCAUGAACAAUAAUCAGAUUUUGGAGAUUAACGCUUUAGUCGAUUCAGGUGCUGAUGACAGCUUUAUGGAUGCUGACUUGGUGGAACAGCUGGGGCUUUCCAAGGAGCAGUUACCGGAAGCCAUUGAAGCUACCACUCUUAACGGCAGACUUCUGGCAUGUAUCACUAUGAGGACUGAACCUGUUAAAAUGCUGCUGUCAGGUAAUCAUUCAGAGCUCAUCUCCUUCUUCAUUCUGCCAUCUCCCUGUUCCCCCCUGGUUCUUGGUUACCCCUGGCUGAGGGAACACAACCCCACGUUCGAUUGGGUGACUGGCAAGGUAACUAGUUGGAGUAUUGAAUGUCAUGCUAACUGCCUUAAAAUUGCCUGUUCUCAUUCUGUUCCCAGUCAGGUCAUUGAUUCUGCCCCCCCAGAUUUGUCCCUAGUUCCUGAAACCUAUCACGAUUUGGGUGAAGAGUUCAGUAAGCAGAGGGCGCUGUCACUUCCUCCCCACCGACCUUAUGACUGUGCAAUAAAUCUGAUCCCUAGAGCUGCCUAUUCCAAAGGACGGUUAUACAGUAUCUCUCGCUCUCAACGUGAAGCCAUGGAGACCUACAUAAAGGAGUCUCUAGCUGCCGGUCUCAUUCGUCCCUCGUCAUCACCCCUGGGAGCAGGAUUCUUUUUCGUGAGUAAAAAGGAUGGGUCUCUUUGACCUUGUAUUGAUUAUCGGGGAUCGAAUGAUAUCAUUGUCAAGAACAAGUAUCCCCUGCCUUUGAUGAACUCUGCUUUCGACUCCUUAAAAAGGUGCUACUGUGUUCACUAAGCUUGAUUGAUGCAAUGCGUAUCAUCUGGUCCGUAUCAGAGAGGGGGACGAGUGAUUGACAGGGUUCAAUACACCUAUGGGAUAUUUCGAGUACCAAGUUAUGCCGUUUGGUCUGACCUAUGCUCCAGCAGUGUUCCAGAGUAUGGUGAAUGACGUCCUGAGAGAUAUGAUCGGUCUUUUUGUGUUUGUUUACCUGGAUGACAUUCUCAUUUUCUCCAAGGAGCUUUCCAGCCACAUCCAGCAUGUCAAGCAGGUCCUGCAGCGAUUAUUGGAGAACCGCCUGUUUGUGAAAGCAGAGAAGUGUGACUUUCAUGCCCACACCACAUCCUUCCUCGGAUACAUCAUCUCCAAGGGAGAGAUUAAGAUGGACCAAGAGAAGGUUAGGGCGGUUCUUGAUUGGCCCCAGCCCAGUACGAGAUUGCAGCUCCAGAGGUUCCUGAGGUUUGCGAAUUUCUAUCGAAGAUUCAUCUGUGAUUACAGCCGUGUGGCCGCUCCAUUAACUGCCCUGACUUCUUGCACCAGAACCUUUUGUUGGAAUCCUGAGGCGGACCGAGCUUUCCUGGAAUUGAAGAGCCGAUUCAACAAUGCCCCUAUUCUCUCUUAAUCUGACACUUCCCGUCAGUUUGUCGUGGAAGUGGAUGCGUAUGAUGUGGGGGUUGGCGCCAUCUUGUCCCAGCGAAGCUCCACUGACAGUAAACUCCAUCCCUGUGCCUUCUACUCUCGUUGUCUUUCGCCUGCGGAGAGAAAUUACGAUGUGGGAAACCGGGAGCUUUGCGCUGUUAAACUCGCCUUGGAGGAGUGGCGCCACUGGUUGGCAGGGGGCGGAGCAACCGUUUAUUGUCUGGACAGACCACAAGAAUCUUUCUUAUGUGCAAUCUGCUAGAUGUCUCAACUCCCGUCAGGCCAGGUGGGCUUUAUUUUUUGGACGUUUUAAUUUUUCUCUGACUUUCCGACCUGGCUCUAAGAACGGCAAGGCGGACUCCUUGUCCCGGAUGUUCUCCAAGAUGGAGGAGAGUGGGGCCAAGACUGAGACGAUUCUUCCCUAGGACUUCGUCGUUGGAGCUGUUACUUGGAGGAUUGAGGAGGAGGUUAUGGCGGCCCUUCAGACGCAGCCCGGUACCGGUAACGGUCCACCCGGUCGGUUGUUUGUGCCAGAGUCUGUCGUUCUGCUCUUCUCCAGUGGUCCCACGCCAACAAGAUGGCUUGUCACCCUGGCGUGGCUCGGACUAUGGCAUUACUAUGCAGACGAUUUUGGUGGCCUGCCAUGGGAGACGAUACCCGGAGCUUUGUCACUGCCUGUCCAGUUUGUGCGCAGAAUAAGAGUUCCAAUCGGCCCAGCUCUGGACUUCUUCACCCCCUACCUGUUCCCCGGUGACCAUGGUCGCAUCUGGCCCUGGACUUUGUCACUGGGUUGCCCUCUUCUGAUGGGAACACUGUCAUUCUGACUUUUGUGGACAGAUUCAGCAAGUUCGCCCAUUUUGUGCCCAUCUCCAAACUUCCCUCUGCCACUGAGACGAACAAAAUCCUUGUUAGGGAAGUUUUCAGGGUCCACGGUCUGCCCCGUGACAUUGUUUCUGACCGUGGUCCUCAGUUUCCCUCAGCUGUCUGGAAAUCCUUCUGUUUGGCCAUUGGAGCUACAGUCAGUCUCACGUUUGGAUUUCAACCCCAAUCUAAUGGUCAAGCUGAGAGAGCCAAACAGAAGAUGGAGUCCACGCUUCGCUGCCUUGUCUCCUCCAACCCCACCUCUUGGGCCUCUCAGUUGCCAUGGGUCGAAUAUGCCCAUAAUACUCUCCCUACAUCUGCCACUGGGAUGUCUCCCUUCCAGUGCCUUUACGGCUACCAACCUCCCUUAUUCCCUUCUCAGGAAAAGGAUCUCACAGUUCCCUCUGUCCAAGCCCACAUUCGCCGUUGCCACCGGACCUGGCAUCGGACCAGAAGGGCCCUCCUUAGAGUUUCUGACCGGUUUCAGCUCCAGGCUAAUCGUCGCCGUAUCCCAGCUCCUGCUUAUGCUGUUGGAGAUAAGGUCUGGUUAGCUACAUGGGAUCUUCUUCUGCGGACAGAGUCUGGAAAACUGGCACCUAAGUUCAUUGGUCCGUUUGUGGUGGAGAAGGUCAUUAAUCCUGCUGUGGUUCGACUCAAGUUGCCCAAGACGCUCAGAGUCCAUCCCGACUUUCAUGUCUCCUGCCUCAAGCCUGUUCUCCUCAGUCCUCUGUUGCCCCCUCCUCCUCGGAUGAUCGGAGGUGGUCCUGUCUAAACGGUGCGCCGCAUCAUGGAUUCCAGACGGCGGGGUCGGGGUUUCAAGUUUCUCAUGGACUGGGAGGGUUAUGGUCCUGAGGAGAGGAGUUGGAUUCCUCGGCAUCAAAUCCUUGAUGAUGACCUCCUUCGUGACUUCUACCGCCUCCAUCCUGGCGCUCUGGGUAGUCCACCCGGUGGCGUUCGACGGAGGGGGGGUACUGUCAUGAAUCCCGCUGUCUGAGUCUGUUUUCUGCCUGAGUUGCCUGUAUUCUGUCCUGGAGUCUGUUUUCCUGAGUUUCCUGAACGCACCCUGU